rnacentral:rRNA from 1 species
GGGUUGUGAGGUUAAGCGACUAAGCGUACACGGUGGAUGCCCUGGCAGUCAGAGGCGAUGAAGGGCGUGCUAAUCUGCGAUAAGCGCCGGUAAGGUGAUAUGAACCGUUAUAACCGGCGAUACCCGAAUGGGGAAACCCAGUGUGAUUCGUCACACUAUCAUUAACUGAAUCCAUAGGUUAAUGAGGCGAACCGGGGGAACUGAAACAUCUAAGUACCCCGAGGAAAAGAAAUCAACCGAGAUUCCCCCAGUAGCGGCGAGCGAACGGGGAGGAGCCCAGAGCCUGAAUCAGCAUGUGUGUUAGUGGAAGCGUCUGGAAAGGCGCGCGAUACAGGGUGACAGCCCCGUACACAAAAGCGCAUGUGCUGUGAGCUCGAUGAGUAGGGCGGGACACGUGGUAUCCUGUCUGAAUAUGGGGGGACCAUCCUCCAAGGCUAAAUACUCCUGACUGACCGAUAGUGAACCAGUACCGUGAGGGAAAGGCGAAAAGAACCCCGGCGAGGGGAGUGAAAAAGAACCUGAAACCGUGUACGUACAAGCAGUGGGAGCCCCACCACUAAGCCAGUGGUGAACUCCACAUACGCAUCCUUUGCUGAGGAUACGGUUAACGGAGCGAAAGCGACGUUCAACCGCAAAAGAAGCAGAGGGGGCUUAGUGGUGGGGUGACUGCGUACCUUUUGUAUAAUGGGUCAGCGACUUAUAUUCUGUAGCAAGGUUAACCGUAUAGGGGAGCCGCAGGGAAACCGAGUCUUAACCGGGCGUUAAGUUGCAGGGUAUAGACCCGAAACC